GGCGCUGUGGCUUAGUUGGUUGAAGUACUUGUCUAGUAAACAGGAGGUCCUGGGUUUGAAUCCCAGCAGUGCCU